GAUGAACGCUGGCGGCGUGCUUAAUACAUGCAAGUCGAGCGAACGGACGCGAAGCUUGCUUUUCUGAUGUUAGGCGCGGACGGGUGUGUAACACGUGUAUAAUCCACCUAUCAUACUGGGAUAACUUCGGGAAACCGGAGCUAACACCGGAUAAUCUUUUGAACCGCAUGGUUCAAUAGUGAAAGUCGGUCUUGCUGGCACUUAUAGAUGGAUCCGCGCUGCAUUAGCUAGUUGGUAAGGUAACGGCUUAUGAAGGCAACGAUGCAUAGCCGACGUGAGAGAGUGAUCGCCCACACUAGAGCUGAGACACGGUCCAGACUCCUACGGGAGGCAGCAGUAGGGAAUCUUCCGCAAUGGGCGAGAGCCUGACGGAGCAACGCCACGUGAGUGAUGAAGGUCUUCGGAUCGUAAAACUCUGUUAUUAGGGAAGAACAUAUGUGUAAGUAACUGUGCACAUCGUGACGGUACCUGAUCAGAAAGCCACGGCUAACUACGUG
rnacentral:rRNA from 1 species